GCCAGCGGCCAUAUUACCCUGCAACUCACAUCUGGUGACCCCAUGAAGCUAAGAAGAAGUGAGCCUGGUUAGUACCUGGAUGGGAGACCUCCUGGGAAAGCUAAGGUUGCUGCUGGGA
rnacentral:rRNA from 1 species